rnacentral:rRNA from 1 species
GACGAACGCUGGCGGCGUGCUUAACACAUGCAAGUCGAACGGUGAAGCGCCUUCCUUUUUGGUGGGUGUGGAUGAGUGGCGAACGGGUGAGUAACACGUGAGUAACCUGCCCCCUUCUUCUGGAUAACCGCAUGAAAGUGUGGCUAAUACGGGAAAUUCUGGGUCUGUCGCAUGAUGGGUCUGGGAAAGAUAUUGUUUCGGUGGGGGAUGGGCUCGCGGCCUAUCAGCUUGUUGGUGGGGUGAUGGCCUACCAAGGCGGUGACGGGUAGCCGGCCUGAGAGGGUGGACGGUCACACUGGGACUGAGACACGGCCCAGACUCCUACGGGAGGCAGCAGUGGGGAAUAUUGCACAAUGGGCGCAAGCCUGAUGCAGCGACGCCGCGUGAGGGAUGGAGGCCUUCGGGUUGUGAACCUCUUUCGCCAGUGAAGCAGGCCUGCCUCGUUUGUGGGUGGGUUGACGGUAGCUGGAUAAGAAGCGCCGGCUAACUACGUG